rnacentral:pre_miRNA from 1 species
UUUCUACUCCCUCUGUCCGAAAAUACUUGUCAUCAAAAUGGAUAAAAAGAGAUGUAUCUAAAACUAAAAUAUGUCUAGAUACAUUUCCUUUUAUCCAUUUUGAUGACAAGUAUUUUUGGACGGAGUGAGUAUUUG